AUUUUUUCUGACAUCCAGCAGGCAUCAUUUCUGUUUUUUAGCUAUCUGACAGCUUGGGGACAGAUACGGGCCUUUGUUACGAACUGGGCCAGAGUAUUCUUUCUCGAGACUUUUCAAACUAGAGCUAGAAGAGAGGUGCCCCCUGUAUUAGUCAGCUACUGCUGCAUAACAAAGAACCAUAAAAUCAGAGUCACUUAAAACAGUGAGCACUUAUUUACUUCACAUCUCUUCAGGUCUGAUGAGUGGGCUCCACUGAUCUCAGCAGGCCUGCUCAUGUGUCUUUAGGCUGGCAGUGGGUGGUUUGAUUUAAGGAUGUCUCUAG
rnacentral:lncRNA from 1 species